GCGUAUAUUAAAGUUGUUGCAGUUAAAAGGCUCGUAGUUGAAUUUCGGGGUCAGCAGGUUGGUCGUGCCACUGGUAUGUACUGGCUUCGCUGAUUCCUCCUUUCUGAAGAACUGUAAUGCCAUUAAUUUGGUGUUGCAGGGAAACAGGACUGUUACUUUGAAAAAAUUAGAGUGUUUAAAGCAGGCUAACGCUUGAAUACAUUAGCAUGGAAUAAUGAAAUAGGACGUUUGAUCCUAUUUUGUUGGUUUCUAGGAUUGACGUAAUGAUUAAUAGGGAUAGUUGGGGGCAUUAGUAUUCAAUUGUCAGAGGUGAAAUUCUUGGAUUUAUUGAAGACUAACUACUGCGAAAGCAUUUGCCAAGGAUGUUUUCAUUAAUCAAGAACGAAAGUUAGGGGAUCGAAGACGAUCAGAUACCGUCGUAGUCUUAACCAUAAA
rnacentral:rRNA from 1 species